CCGCCCAAUCGCGCGCGCUCUCCCUCUCUCCACAAGGCUCUUUGGCGCCCCUCGUCAAGGCCGCAGCAGCGAUAGCGGCCGUUGGGAGUUCAGGCGUUCCCUGUUCAGAUUACUGUACCGGUAUUUCUGCGAGGCGUCCUGUCCUCUCGCGCGCGGAAAAGAGGAGCAGAAGCCCGCCGCGCCACCGAAUUGGGAGGUUUACACAGCACGGGAUGGAAGCUGCCUUGCACCGAGUCUCCCCCUCGUUGAUCCGUCUAGCUCAGUGACUCUUCAAGGAUUUAGAGAGGAGUCUUUCUUUCCCAGCCCUACCUCCUUGGGAUUGAAGUUGGGACUUUGGGCUCGCGAAGCACGUGGCAAGGCUUGUACUCCAAGAGCGUAAAGCAGUGAGGAGUGUUUCUCAUCACAUUUCCCUGAUCCAUUUUAAGGGGGGGGGGGCACACGGGGUAGGGGUGCCAGGGACCAAACUACAGACCUUCUGCACGAAGGUAAAAGGAGCCUCCUCCAUAGCCCUCAUCGUGACUAAUAGCUAUUGAUAUUAACUUGUUCUCCGUUAAUUUAUCUAAUCCUCUGAAAGUCAUCCUAGUUGGUGGUCCUCACUGCCUUCUGUGCAAAGAUCUAUCCCAGAUCCCCCUCGUCCCAUUUAUAGGUCUCUUACCCAGGGCAAGCUCUGUCAGACAGCAGCUUUUGUGCUGCUCUGGUUUUAAUCAUCGUUGAUUAAAGUAAUCAGCCUUGUUGGUCCAUUGGGGGGGAAAUAUCCAAACAGCAAUAGUUGCAUAAUAUGAGUAUUAGGACCAAUUAAAAAUUAAGCAAGCUGUUGAGGUCACUAGUACUCUUCUACAGGGUAGUUGUUAAAUAAAAGAAAAAAAUAUACUGCAUGGUGCUGGUGCCAAUUCUAGAUGGGGAGUUUCAGCAUCCCACCACCUAGGUGGGUCCUUUAUCCUGGCAGGAAUGUGGGUGACGCUGUGGUCUAAACCACUUGAGUCUCUUGGGCUUGCCAAUUAGAAGGUCAGCGGUUCAAAUCCGUGCAGCAGGGUGAGCUCCUGUUGCUCUGUCCCAGCUUCUGCCAACCUAGCACUUCGAAAGCACACCAGUGCAAGUAGAUACUGUAAAUGGGUACCACUGUGGCGGGAAGGUAAACGGCGUUUCCGUGCGCUCUGGCUUCUGUCACGGUGUUCCAUUGCACAUGAUCUGGAAUGCUGCCUAUAGACAAACACCGGAUCCCUCGGCCUGAAGCAAGAUGAGUGCCACACCCCAUAGUCACCUUUGACUGGACUUAACCAUCCAGGGGUCCUUUACCUUUUACCUUACCUUUUGUUGUGACAUGGUGGGCUCCCUCUCCUCCUUUCUUCAGCUCCCCAUCCUUCCCUGAUUUUUGAGAGUGGUAGGCUCAGCAGCAGACAGAGAGGUCAGUCUAGCAGCAACUAUUGCUGGUGGUGCCUGCCAUUUCAAUCCUCCGGGACCCUGAUAUAAGCAUUAUGCUGGAAUAAGGCAACCAAAGCACUAGAAGCAUUGUAGGGGAAUUUAAAUGGGUGCCUCCUUGUGUGUGUAGAGAGACAGAGAUUCCUAUAGGGGUUUUUUUUUGGGGGGGGGGGGCUGUCAGAGCAACAAUAAACUGAGCACCAAAAACCAGUUUUCAUAUGGCAAAGCUUGUUGGGGAGAAAUGGACUUCAGCCAUUGCAGUUACACCAUGGUGUCCCCUUCCAUAUUUACAUCUGGAUCACAAGAAAAGGUGUCUGUUGGGAUAAUAUCUACUUUGUUAUAUGAGGUUAAAGUAAUAAUUGUAACAACAGAGAUUAAUUUGCCCAUUAUUAACAGUAAAAAAAGAAAGAAAAUAAAAAUGACCACAAGAUGGUGCCAUCAUCUUGAAGUAUAUAUAAAAGCCUGAAAAGAACAUGUUAGCUAACUUGUUUUGAAGACUGUCUUCCAAAAGCUAUUUAACAGCCCCCCUGGGAAAUUUUUGGAAAGGCAUAAUAUUUCAGUCAGUGCAGAAUUCACAAUGGUUUUUAAAAGUUUAUUUUUGUUGUUUGUGUUUGGUUUUUUUAAGAACUGUGGGCAUUUCCAGGUGACCUGGAAUACUGAGCAUUCAUCUUAAUUAGUUCUUAGAGAAGUUAGGACAUUCAUUUUGAUUUGCUUGUGAGGAGUUUAGACAAUGUUAUAUCAAAAUUUCAAUCCUUUGAAGAAGCAGAUUUGUUACACGAGUCCUCCAAAACAACUUUAAUUGCACAAACUGGAUUUGCUGAUAGGUGAUUGAAUCCCACCUGAAAAUACUGAAAAUCUGGAAGUGCCCUGUGAAACAGGAGGGCUUAAUAACAGGCAUGGAAGGAAAAUAAACAGAAUGUUGUCAGGAUAAAAGCAAUGGACAAAAUUCAUUUGUGAAAAAUUGAGUUCCAUGAGGACUCAGGAGGGGACAAGGGCCUAAGGCAAGAGAUGCACUGAAUUUUUUUCACAAGGGAUGCAGAUCAAAUUCAAACAAGAGCUGAGCUUUUAACACCCUGAAAUUCUUUUCUACUUUGGGUUAAAAUUUGCGCUGAAGAAAAAUUCCCAGCUUACGUCCUCCCACACCAAUCCUCAAGUACUCUCCUCAUGAAUCCCCCCCCCCAGCGCCCACCUACUCUUCUGCUUAAGGCCUUUCCUGGUGUUUGUGGGAGUAGUGGCAACACAGAGAGGCAGGAAAAGAGGCAGAUCCCCACCAGAAUGCUUGACAUCCUUACGGGCUGUUAUGCUUGUUUGCAGAUACACAGCACAUCAGUACCCUAUCCCAGGACCCAGUGGCCACUGAGAGAUUUGAGUUUUCCUGAGAACGACUACAAUCCUAAACCCUGUGGAUAUUCAGGAAUUUUGCUGUAAGGUAUGGUCUCACUCUCACUGGUACACCCCCUGGCAUCUGCAGUCCUUGUUAGCCUCCAUUAUAGCUGCUGGGGUGGAACGAGUUCCUAUGUGCGCUUAUGAUUGGAGUACAGCAAGACACCUAAGGAUACAUCAAUGUCAAUAAUCUGCUCUUCAUUGUUCUCCUUGGCUGCUUGUGCUUCUUUUUGCCAAGUAUGGGGGACCUGUGGCUGUGGUACUCUAGCUUCUAUCAGUCCCCACCAGCAUAGCCAGGGGUCAGAGAUUCAGAGCGUUGUAGUUCAACAUCUGGAAGGCCACAAUUUCCCCAUACCUGGUUUUUGCAAAGUGCCUGUGGCGUUUGCCUCCUAGGAUGGGUCAUAAGGAAAGGGUUAAAGGGUUAGAGUGGGAGGUUUUGAAAGUCAGUUGAGGUUUGGGAGUUGAAGAAGGAAGAGGGAGGAUUAGGUGUGGGUUGGUAGAGUUGUAUUGUGAGAGAGUGAGAGGAAUUGUUAGGUGGAGUCAGAUAGAUAGUUGGGAAUAAUCAGUUUGAAGCUGUUAGGAACUAAGAAUAAGAAACUGCCCAUAAAAAUUAACUGUAACCAUAAGCUUGUUCCUGCAUUUAAAAAUAAACUUGAUUAUUUGUUAAUGUUAACAACUGACUGGACUCCGUGUGUCCCCGUGAGAUAUGGGGUGGUGGCAGCGGAAAAAGCAAUCGCAGUGGUGGCACAGGGUCAAUAGACCAUCAAACGUCCGGGGGCCCUGUGUGAUUGCCACAGUGCCCUUUCCACAAAAGUUCCCUGACACCCAGCUGCCCCUUAUGUUCUCAUGGUUCUAUUGUCAUUGUGACACCCACCCAUGCUGUGCAUCUUGAUAUAUGCGAAUUGUAUUACAUUGGUGGAGCUGUGUUAUACAUUAGAUGCUGUGUCAUGACCUUAGGUGUUAAUGGGAGAUUUCCCUGCAUAGCAAAUACCAACUUCAGAGGAGGAAUAUUCCUUAGGAAAGAGUUAAAUCCCCCCUUCAUACCGUAAUCCCAAUAAUUUCCAGCCCCUCAUCCUGAUGCUAUUUGCAUUUUUAGAACCAAAAUUUAAGGGCACAUAGAGGCUGGCCCUUUGUCAACAACCAGGGACCUGCACUUGGAGAACUUUUAUUUUCACAGUGUGCAUCCUGAGCACACCUUAAACCAGCAAAGCAUAUCUUUCUUUCUUUUUUUGCUCAUGCUCUUUGAAGAAAGACUAGAAAAACAUUGGUGGAAUUAUGCAAAUAUGGUCAAAAUGUCUCGCAUCAGGUUUUCAGAAACAUCCAAACAAACAAUAAGAGAUUUUGCAGCAUGCAGCUGGCAUGGUGAGGCCAUGAGUGUAUGACCAAGGUGAAACAAAGAAUGGAGUAACUGACAAGGAACAAUUGUAAAUUUGUGGAUAAUUAUUGCCUUUGUUUGAAAAAGAUGACUGUUACGGGGAUGAUAAACACUAUGGGUGGAAAAGAAUGAGGAGGGGUGUUCUUCACUGAUUAGCAAACCAGCUGUGGAGAAAAGCUCUAAUCACUCGCCCUCCAUUCUGCCUGAGUGAGUCAGGCAUAUCCUUGCUGCAGUGUUCCCAAAUACACAGCAACAGGUGGAGUGUGGGGACUUCAGUGAUAACCAACACUGAGAUAGCCAUUAGGGUUGCCAUAUUUCAAAAAGUAAAAACCAGGACACCCCGAAAGUUGUUGAGCUUUUUUCCGAUUUACUUGCCUAAGAUCAAAGACAAAGCACCGCUUUUCGGAAAUUCCACCUUUGAAAUCCCAGUAAUAUCCAGGGAAAUCCGGACAUAUGGCAGCCCUGAUAGCCAUCUCCCAACUCGCAAAAGCUGUCAACCCUCUACCUGGUGAAUAUGACUGGCUUGUGAUUGGUGGAGUAUCACCAGCUGUCAAUCAAGCCCCCCAAAGUGGACUGUUGCAAACAGUGUCAUUUGCCCUUCUUCAUUCCCCCAACCUGCAACAUAUUCUUGAAGUUUGUUAGGGUCAGAGGAGACCAUUCAGCAUAAACUUGCAGUGUUAGUUUGGAUUAAGUGUAGGAUUAUUUAGACCAGGAUUUUUGUAUCACAAGCAGCAUACUGGCUGCUUCUCCUCUUGUCUUCCUUUUUACCCUUUGAAUAAACUGCUUAAUUGGAUUACUGGGCUGGACUUGUUUCUGAACACACUCAAAGGCUAGUUAACCUCUCUUAUGGCUUAGGCGACUGGGUCUACACAAUGCCUUGGAGGGUACAAUGCCUUGGACACAUUGGUGAAUGGUUGUAGCGGGGGGGGGGGGGACUAGGAUGAGUUUCCAGGCUUACUAGCCUACCCUGCAGAGUUGGUGCUGGAACAGGAGACUGCCCUAUCCUUACAGCAGUUAUUCAAAGUAAUUAAGCCUUGUCAUUGACAGGUGCAACAGAAAAUAUUAGUGCUCCUCAGCCACAUGGGAUGAUUUGGCUGGAAGGAAAUAGAAGGAGUAGGGAGAACAGUUACAAUGAAAGCAAUAGCCGCCAUGCAUUUCCAGUAUGCAAACUGCCCAACAUUAUGGGGCUCUGUUAAUGUCUAACAACCUGGAUCUACUUGCUGGUAAAUCCUUUCAGUGAGUCACUGUUACAUUCCAAGAAACUCCUCAUUUCCCAGAAACUCUUCUAAGCCACAAGAUUCUAGCUGCUUUAUAAUAUUCACUGUGAUAGAUGGUCCUCCUCUGGCAUCUGCAUCCUCUGAUGGAUUCUGCAGUCAUUAAGAGAUGAUGUUCUUCAAAUGGAUCAGGAACGGAGGUGUGUUCAUUUCUGCCACGAUAUUGUUCCAUCAUAUAGAUUUUCUAGAUGAGAGUAUCUAAGUAAGCAGGCUAUGGAAGAAGCUCCAAGGAUAGGACUAGGACCUGGACAAGGAUGGAUGUGGUUUUCAUCAGCUAAAAGCUGGCCAUCAUCAGCUGCCUGUCUGAGAGCUCUGCCUUUGUUUAUUCAUCCCCUACUUGGCAUUAAGCCAGCUGAUGUGAAGUUAUAGAAUGCCCACAAGCAGAGCCGUAGCUGGGGGGUGGGGUGGGGGAUGCCUAGCCAGGGUUUCUGCCCCAGGUGAAGCCUCCAGAGGGGCGCCAUUGAGGCUUCCAGCCUCCCAGCAUGUCUGGGCUUCAACCAGAGAGAACGAUGAAAAAGUGAAUAGCAAUCGAGAGCUCCAUCUUUCCCCUUUCCCCAUGAAGCUGUAGAAGGCUCAUUUACAAUGUGAUGCAGGGAGAGGAGGAAGAGUUGGAAAAUCUGGAGAGGCUGUGUGGCUCUCCCCAGUGAAGCAGAAGUUAGGAUCCACUGUGGGUUUGCUACUGUGCGAUAAAGAAAUUCUGGAGGAAUAGAGGGAGGGCCUGGAAGCUGAGGAAGAGAAUCAGUUGGACUAGAUGGUCCUUGGGGUCCCUUCCAAUUAUUUCCAACAGCCACACCUUUACCUAUAUGGCAUGAGAUAGUGUGAGAUGAUUAUGGCCAUGAUGUCGGAUGGAUAUGGCUUGCGUAAAAUGGCCUCAGAGAUGCCCCAUGAGCCGAAGGUAUCCCAUGCCUAGUUUGCUGCCUAUUUUCCCACUCUGAAGGAGAAGCUCUCCAGAGCCACUGCAGUGUGUCCUUUUCUAGGGAGCUCAUAAUAUCUGAUCUGCUUUCCCCAGCAAGCUCCUCACUGAAGGAGGUUUUAUCCAGCUACAUUUCUGCUACCUUCCUUCCUUCCUUGGGUAUGGAAGGGGCUGGCAAGGCAGGCCCAAGACUUAUUGCUGCAGGAGGCAGAAUAGCAAAUUAUCCCCCUCCUCCAAGUUUUGGUGCGCAUUACCCAAGGCAAAUCAAGUUAUUUUGGCACUUGAAGCACAAAUGCUUCUUAAUGUGCCUGGCAGCAAAAAAAGAUUGAUGACUAUAAGUUAAAUAACCUACAAUUUGCUACUUGUUCAUGACACCCAAAAUCAGCUGCCUGAGGAGCUGUUUCACUCUGCCUAGGGUAGGCCCAGCCCUGAACAGGCACCCCAGACUAUUACAUUGAUUUUUCCAGCUGCUGUACUGAUUCUAGAGACAGCCAAAAGAACAUAAUUAAGAGUUCCUCCCCCGCCCCCCCAACAGCAAAAGCCCCAGAUGCUUUAAACAUUCCUCACUGGGAAUGUGCUCCAACUCCCUGAUCAUUUUGGCUGCUCUUUUCUGCACCAUUUCCAAGCUCUUCUAUAACCUUUUAGACAUGGAGGUGAGCAGAACUCAAUAUUUCUAAAUCUAUAAGGAUGUUAUUAUCUUGGAAGUUUUAUUUCUGAUCCCUAACUUGGGCUUUGCCUUCUCCCCUCCCCCACCCCAGCUGCUGCAUACUGAGUUGUUGCUUUCUUUGAGCUGUCCACCACAACCCAUCAUUGUGGUGCAUCUCAGAAUCUUAGAGAAGCACAGGGACUGCCUUCUGGACUGGUGGACUGCUGUUUCCCUGACUUCCUAAAACAGGAUACAACAAGUGACACUUUCUCUGAGUGAGGACUUAUUUCCAAACUUGCUUUUGGUACAUCUAUGCAGGAAUGAUCAUCGUGGCUAUUUCACCCAGUGGCAUGUUGUCUUGCUUGAGGUCAGUCUCCAAGAUGUAGGAUUCCAGCCUCAUAAAAUUCUAGCAUGUUUGAAUUUAAUUAGUGUAUUAAGACAUUUGUUAUCUGUCUCUCUCCAUCAGGAUUUCAGUGUGUAAGAAGCUCUGAGAUGGUUGUUCCAGCAUAUGGCUCUAACUAGCCUCUUUUGUUUCAGACCAGAACAAAGUUUGAAACUAGCAUUUUUCUCUACCAGUAGUUUAGAAACUUUUACCUUUUGUAACUAAGCAGUGUUUUACUGCCUGUGCAAUUUUUCUGACUGCUUUAUGGAAAAGUACAUGAACCCAACCUUUGAAAAGUUUUGUAAGUAAGCCAUUUUGUACAAUGAUAGCCUUAGAUUUUUAUGUAUAUAGGAAGAUAGGUUGUGAUGGUUUAAAACACAUCCAAUGCACAUUUAAAACACAUGAGUUCCCUCAAAGAAUCCUGGGAACUGUAAUUUGUUAAGAGUAUUGGGAAUUGUAGCUCUGUGUAAUGGGAAACUACAAUUCCCAGGAUUCUUUUGAGAAAAUCACGUUCUUUAAAUGUGUGUUGAAUAUGCUUUAAAUGUUUGGUGUGGAUCUGUCUCUUAGUGGAUAGGCAGAAGUUCAUGUUUCAAGCGCUGAAUAUGUUAUCUAGGAAAUAGGGUGUUAGCCAUGAGCCUGGAAGAUCUGUCUUCUAAAUUAUAGCUCCGCUCUGUGAGAGCUCUUGGUUCUUGCCUAAUGAACAUAGUAAUGAUUUUAGCUCAGAGGGUUCUGGUGGACAUGAAUGAGCAAUAAUAAAGACCUUUGCAGGCUUAACCGAGCUAUGUAAAUAAUUAUUAAUAUAGUAGUAAAGAAAACACUGUUCAUUCCCACAGAUUGCCUGUCACUUCAGACAGGAAGUCCCCCCGAACCCGGUCUGUCUCCAUUUAUAAAUAUGAUGUGUUUGUUUUUGAUUUCUCUUUCAUUCAUGAAUGGCCAAAUGCACUGUCUGAUUUCCCACGGUGGUGAAAGGAGGGAGACAACAUGGCAGCGGAGAACAGAGGAGAUGGAGAGACUGACUGAACCCUGAGUGGCAUUAUCGGGAAGGGCACCAAAGCAGACUGGACAAUAAUAUAAUAAAUCC
rnacentral:lncRNA from 1 species